AAUCUAGAUAACACAUUUGAUCGUACAGUCUUGUACUGACGACGUCUCUUUCAAACGCCUGACUUAUCAGCUGUCGAUGGUAGACUCUGUGUCUACCAUGGCCCUCACGGGUAACGGGGAAUCAGGGUUCGAUUCCGGAGAGGGAGCCUGAGAAACGGCUACCACAUCCAAGGAAGGCAGCAGGCACGCAAAUUACCCACUCCCGGCACGGGGAGGUAGUGACAAAAAAUAACGAUACGGGACUCUAUUGAGGCCCCGUAAUCGGAAUGAGUACACUUUAAAUCCUUUAACAAGGAUCCAUUGGAGGGCAAGUCUGGUGCCAGCAGCCGCGGUAAUUCCAGCUCCAAUAGCGUAUAUUAAAGUUGUUGCGGUUAAAAAGCUCGUAGUUGGUUCUGCGUGCCGCGCUGUCGGUUCGCCGCCUGUCGGUGUAACUGGCAUGUCGCGGCAUGUCCUGUCGGUGGUGAACGAGAUUCCCGGCAAUUAAUUUGCUUCUGUAAGUUUUUUGCCGUGCGUAAUGUCGUUUGCCGAUCUCUCCUACUCCGGUGCUCUUAAACGAGUGUCGAGGUAGGCCGACACGGUCACUUUGAACAAAUUAGAGUGCUUAAAGCAGGCUGAAAUAUCUGCCUGAAUAGUAGUGCAUGGAAUGAUAAAAUAGGACCUCGGUUCUAUUUUGUUGGUUUUAGGAAGAUGAGGUAAUGAUCAAUGUGGACUGGCGGGGGCAUUCGUA
rnacentral:rRNA from 1 species